UUAUAAGGGAAAACUCCUUUCACUUGACUCUUAUUCUCUUCUCUUGUUUGCUACCAUGUGAGACGUGCCUUUCACUUUUUACCAUGAUUAUGAGGCCUCCCCAGCUACGUGGAACUGGAACACCUUCGAAGGCAAUGAUCCUACAGGACCUUGAUCCACUACAGCCCUUCUAGCAUCCUAUCUGCACCUGGAUAGUAUAGAUACCCACUGGAAUCUUGUUUCUUUUUCAUUCAGGAAAGCAAAGAUCAAGGAUUCUGGAUCCAAUACCUCGCAGUCAUGCAGAGAUGCCCAUAAUGGUUAUUUAUGUUCUUGCAUGCCAUUGCUGAAAAGGAUAUAGACAUAGAAAGGAACUUUACUCUCAACUAAAUUAAAAUCCAAAGAAAGGAAGAGUUGACCCUUGAACAACAUGGAGACUGGGGAGCCAACCUCCAAUGCAGUUGAAAAUCCACGUAUAACUUUUGACUCCCUCAAAACUUUACUAAUAGCCUACCACUGACUGGAAGCCCUAUCCAUAACAUAAACAGGCAAAUCUUCAGAGGAGAUGCUGGCGUGCAGUGCAGUCUUUCCAAGUUUUUCAUGCUAUAACCUGCUGUCCGUCUUGCAAAUUAAGUAUGAUUAGGUUUGGUGAAGUUGCUCUCUGGGACAUUGUCCCCAUUCUGCCUGAAUUUUCCCUCCACCAUUCUAGUCCUCCUCCUCAUUGGCCUCACAUAGUCCCUCACAGGGGCAGUACAGCUUGGUGCAGAGAAUAUGGAUUUUGAAGGCCAGAUGCCUUGGGGUAUAAAUCAGGCACUGAUACUUACCGGCUGUGUGGCUUUGGGCAAGUUACUUUACCUCUCUGAGCAUAGAUCUUUUCUGUGUAAAGACAAUAAUUCCUCCCUCAAAGGGCAGUCAGUUCCAAGGCUUACAUGAGACAAUACAUGUCAAGUUUUAGGCACAUAAUUAAUAAUCCAUGUCAAUUGCCACUGACUUGCCUCACUGACAAUCCUGGGGCCCAGGACCAGGUUCCCUUCCCUCACCUGGCUUUAUCACAAUCAG